CCUACGGGUGGCAGCAGUGAGGAAUAUUGGGCAAUGGACACAAGUCUGAACCAGCCAUGCCGCGUGCAGGAAGACGGCUCUAUGAGUUGUAAACUGUUUUUGUAGGAGGGUAAACGCAGAUACGUGUAUCUGUCUGAAAGUAUCGUACGAAUAAGGAUCGGCUAACUCCGUGCCAGCAGCCGCGGUAAUACGGAGGAUUCAAGCGUUGUCCGGAUUGAUUGGGUUUAAAGGGUGCGUAGGCGGUCGGAUAAGUUAGAGGUGAAAUCCCGAGGCUCAACUUCGGAAUUGCCUGUGAUACUGUUCGGCUAGAGAGUAGGUGCGGUAGGCGGAAUGUAUGGUGUAGCGGUGAAAUGCUUAGAGAUCAUACAGAACACCGAUUGCGAAGGCAGCUUACCAAGCUACUUCUGACGUUGAGGCACGAAAGCGUGGGGAGCAAACAGGAUUAGAUACCCCUGUAGUC
rnacentral:rRNA from 1 species